UACCUCUCCACCAUCAUUCCCUUUUAUUUUAUUUUAUUAUUAUUAUUUUAUUUUUCUUUUCUUUGCUUUCGGUGGCGUUGAUCCACCAAGAUUCCACCAUUUCUUCUUCUUUCCAGACUGGCGUGUCCCUUUUUUUUUUUCUUUUAAUAAUAAUUUUUUUUAUAUAUAUAUUCCCCACAUGGUGCAGGGAGGAAAUGCAGAGGAGCUUGGAGUAGUAGGAGGUAAGAGACGGAGAAAGUCUUUGGAUGUGAGUUGACAAACUUUGGUUUUGUUAAUCACAUUCACAGGUAGCGACCAUGGCGGAAGUGCAGAAGCAGCCAGAGCUUGAAGUAGUGCAAAGCGUCGAGCUUCACGAUCGGCUAGUCGUUUGACAGCGGUCACUGAAGUUCUUUGCCGAUUUUGACCACGGUGGCCGGAGUGAGGAGCUUGAGGUAGUUAGUAGAUGUUGUUGCUGUGGCUAUGGAGUUUGGAGAGCUGAAGCAGCGGAGUUCGGAGAGCUUGAAGAUGGAGCACAACCGUGAGGAGGUCAAUGAUCGAAGGGAGAAGGCCGCGCUGCUCAACCUUAGAGAGAGACAAACUGCCCAUACAGUAGCAUGAAGAUCUUACUGGGGUAGAUGGGCAGAAUGGAGAGCAUGGACGAAGAGCUCAACAAAGACGGAGACGGCUCGGGGUUUGGUGGAUUUGUCGCUAGUGGAUCAGAAAUCCUUGUCCAUAUGCUGCAGGCUGAGAUGCGGCAGAAGGGUCUUCGACUAACAUCA